rnacentral:lncRNA from 1 species
CUGACAGUUUGGCUUCCCUGUUCCAGGUGGCAAAGCCUGUGGGGUAUUCACCUACCUGCUGCAUGAAGGCAGCAUGGAGGGACUGUGGUGGAUUAUCUGCAAAGAUGGCCCAAAUUCUCUCAUCCCUGCAGGUACAUACAAGGUUGUUGCAUGGCAUAAGUAAAAUGACAGCUAUAGAAUAUGUGCAACUUUUCAGUGACAAAGACCUGUGAAGCAUUGACAGUACCACCUAAUGAGGUUUCACGAUAACUAAGUAUCACAACCAGUUUACAGACCAGAAAACUGAGACACAGGAAGGGUUGGUGACUUGAGCAAGGUGCAUCAGCUGCCAGGUUUCCAGAAGUUCCCUAGUCAUUGGGCAUUUCUGAGACUCUUGAUGCAUAUGCCAAGUAGUUAUGGAGAAAGACAUAGCCGCUUACCUCUGCAGGCAUCAUUGUGUGAAAGGAAGACCGAGGCUGUCUCACCACCCUUGAAGAGAAGCCUUUUGCUAAGGUGAUAGCUGCAUGUCCAAGCCUAUUGCGUGGCAUGGAUUUUGCCUUCUACAGCCCACUAAAGGAAAUUGAGGUGUACGGAAUGCUUAUUUGGUUGACUCAGUAUCAUCCUAAAUGUAUGAACUAAUGUUUAGGAGUUUGCAGUUCACCCGCAAACCUCAGCGAUCCAAGCUCCCCUGGAUGACCAUCACUCACCUAGAAAAGAACAAUAACAGGACCUGUUUUGCUAAUCCAGGACUGUUCUCCAGCACUAACUCUAAA